CUUCAAACAUGCAACUGUAACCCCAAUUCUAAAGAAGCCCAAUCUUGACCCUAACUCCCCAUCCAACUAUCAUCCUAUCUCGCUACUGCCUUUUGCAUCCAAGAUCCUUGAAAAAAUUGUGUAUGUGAGAUUGACAGACUUGCUCGAGUCCAACUCUCUGCUAGACCCGCUUCAGUCUGGUUUCUGCGCUAAGCACUCUGUGGAAACGGCACUGACCAAAGUAUCCAAUGAUAUACUCGCUGCAAAAUCUCGUG